rnacentral:lncRNA from 1 species
CCUGGAGGGCGCCGGGACAAAGAGCGAGAGGUCCCCUGAACAUGUGCGGAGGGCUUUGCGUUCCCGGGG